AUUGGGUGCCGACAAGCAGCCUUCAGAAGGGUAUGAUAUGAGACAGACAAUAGGGACAUAUUAGUGGAGCUGCUUGAGGAAGGACCUCUUUCUUUCUUCUUGACCCAGUAAAGGAAAACAAAGAGGGCCAACAUUGACACUCCCAAGAGCGCAGAUACGAUUGAGACGGCUAAUCUCAAGGAGGUUCAGGUUCUCUAAGGAUCUUGGGAUGUCACCUGAAAGAUUGUUCAAGGAAAGAUCUAAUUUUUCUAAACCCAUCAAUGAGCCUAUAGACUGUGGAAUUGUACCUUGAAAUCUAUUCCCCCUCAUGCCGAGCUCCUCCAAUCUUAUACAAGCUCCUAGAGUGGCAGGAAUAUUGCCCAAAAAUUGGUUGUCUGAGACAUUAAGGACUUCCAAAUUUAUCAAAUUUCCAACUUGAAAGGGCAGAAUACCUACCAAAUUAUUUCCAGAAAAGUCCAAUGCAUACAACGAUGGAAGGCCAAAAAUCUCAAUGGGUACGGGACCAGUAAUGUUGUUAUUUGAAAGAUCAAGAACGACUAAACGUUGCAGCAUGCCUAGACUUGUGGGUAUUUUCCCCUCCAUGAAGUUGGUACCUAGAUACAAAAUGCUCAGUUGGGUCAGAUUAUCGACGGAUGAUGGAAUUCGACCAGUCAAUUGAUUUUGGUGGAGGUACCAAUUGACGAGCUUUUGGAGCUUUCCUAAGCUCCUGGGAAUUAUACCCGAAAUUUGAUUGUUCGACAAAGAGAAGAGUUCCAAAUUGACAAGAUUGCCAAUUGCGCAAGGGAUCUCUCCAUAUAUCUGAUUGUUUGCCAUAGAAAACUCUGUAAGGUCCAUCGAAAAGUUGCCGAUAGUUUCUGGUAAUUUUCCACCGAAGUAAUUUGCGCCUGCAGCGACAGAUCGCAGCCCCGUUGCAUUGACUAAUGAACGGAGAAAGUUUAGGUCAUUGGCUCCACCAGUUCCCAGACAGUUGGCCCCAAUAUAUAAUUGCUGAAGCUUAUGCAACUUUGAUAAGGAAGGAACCGACCCCGAGAACUGGUUGGUUGGAGCCUGAAAACUUAACAAGUUUGAUGCGUUUGAUAUUGAAGUGGGGAUCGGCCCAGAAAAAUUAUUACUACCAAGAACUAUAUGCUGAAGAUUUGGGAGAGUGAUGAACAGGUCAGGAGGCAGACUUCCUCGGAGUUCAUUGUUUGCACCUAAAUCAAGAAUUGUCAGAGUCGAUAAAUUGAAAGUUGAGAGAGGAAUUGUACCAAACAGAUUGUUCGAGGAAAGCCCAAGGAAACGGAUAUGCUUGAGCCGACCAAGGGAAUCUGGGAUGCUUCCAUACAGACCAUUGUAAGCUGCGGAGAGCACGUUCAGAGAAGACAAAUUGCCAAUGGAAGCAGGUAUUUUUCCAAUGAAAUGGUUUCGGUGAAUACCGAGGUACUGAAGCUCUGUUAAAGAGCCCAACUCUUUUGGGAUCUCUCCCACAAGCUGGUUACCACCAAUACCGAUGAAGAUAAGGCCAGAGCAAUUGGAUAAGUAGGGCGGAAUCGCACCAUUCAGCGAGUUGUUAAACAGCUCUAACAUCUGUAGUCUCUUCAAAUACCCGAUUACCAGUGGGAUUUCACCGGUGAACUCGUUAUUUGAAAUAUUAACAAUUCUGAGGAAGCUUAAAUUCCCUAUGUGAGGUGCAAUUGUGCCGGCGAGCUUGAGGGAUUGAAGAUCGAGAACGGUGACCCUCUGAUGCCUUCUGCCGCAAGUGAUCCCUCGCCACUCGCAAAAGUGGAGGGUGUCAUUCCAAGAAUCGAGUGCCCCAAAUGGGUCAUCCCUUAUCAGGGAUUUGCAUGCAAGCAAGGAAAGCCUGUCGGUUUCAUUUCCUCUCAUCGAGCAAGUAGACAGCCCAAUGACUGAAAAGAGAAGAAUAAAUCUCAUAUAAAAAGAAGAUGAUGAAAGCAUUCUUGGAGAGAAAAAAGAGAACAUGUCGAGGAAGUUUGAUGGAAAGGGAAAGAGGCGGUAUACUUUGUUGUAUAGGAAGUACUUGUAUAAAUAGGCUUAUUGACAGUACUGGGGAUGGAGCUGACCUUUCAUGAAGUUUCGAUAUUGUAUUAGUUAUUUCAUUAGGAACAAAAAGAGAAAAUAUCAGAUUUCAUUAUCCA